UGAGGAGUCAGCAGCAGCCAAAAUCAGUUGGGUUACUCACAUCUUGAGCGGAGAUCUUGAGCCAACUCGGAGGAGUCCUCUUGUAAGGAAGAGCUGAAGAUGAGAUACCCUU